UACGUAGGGGGCGAGCGUUGUCCGGAAUGAUUGGGCGUAGAGGGCGCGUAGGCGGCCCGUUAAGUCUGAAGUGAAAGUCCUGCUUUUAAGGUGGGAAUUGCUUUGGAUACUGAUGGGCUUGAGUGCAGGAGAGGUAAGUGGAAUUCCCAGUGUAGCGGUGAAAUGCGUAGAGACUGGGGGGAACACCAGUGGCGUAGGCGACUUACUGGACUGUAACUGACGCUGGGGCGCGAAAGUGUGGGGAGCAAAC
rnacentral:rRNA from 1 species